UACGGGGGGGGGCAAGCGUUGUUCGGAAUUACUGGGCGUAAAGGGCUCGUAGGCGGCCAACUAAGUCAGACGUGAAAUCCCUCGGCUUAACCGGGGAACUGCGUCUGAUACUGGAUGGCUGGAGUUUGGGAGAGGGAUGCGGAAUUCCAGGUGUAGCGGUGAAAUGCGUAGAUAUCUGGAGGAACACCGGUGGCGAAGGCGGCAUCCUGGACCGGUAUUGACGCUGAGGCGCGAAAGCCAGGGGAGCAAAGCGGG
rnacentral:rRNA from 1 species